UUAAACAACUUCAAAACUAGUACAAACAAGGCCAACACAAAUUUAUAUAUACUCUAAUUUGUAACAUGUUUUGGCAAUAUAGUGUUGUACUCUAAGCUAUAUUGAUAUUUUGUGCUUAUUAUUGUUGUACAAGGCUUGCUUUGUGUUGUUGUACAUCAUCGUGUCUAUUGAUUUCCUCACCACCACCGCUUCAUUCGACCUGUAAAACCCUAAAAAAGAGAGACUCACAUCCUCUUGAUCAACAUCGGCGUUCCUUCCGAUCUUAACUUCACCACUACCAUCCACCCCCGUCGGUCCGUCACCACCACCAUUCCCCUCUCCUCUCUUGUCUCUUCCCUCUGUGAAACUACCACCAUCUUUGUCAUCUCCGAUAGCCGCUGUAAACAACCCAGCCCUGAAGUACCGAAAUUGUAAAAUCGGUUAUUCUUAGCGGUGAUUUAAAGUCGACGCUAUCGAUUUCGCUUGAGGAUACGGUAUGCACUUCUCUGCUUCUUUGUGUGAUUUGGCCAAUAGUCGGAUUUCCUUUGGUUGUUUCGUGCGUUUCUUAUGUUGCAUGUGAAUCUUUAAGGUUUUGUUGAUUCUCAUUUGGGGCUUGCAUUUUGGGGGUUUCGGGAUUCGAACGUCACCUGUGGGUUGGGGUUCAAAAAGAACUGAAGGUUAUUCCAUUGUGAUUUUGUAUGAACAGAAUGUAAGAAAAAUAUUAACUUCCAGUAUGCUUAAAUGCGAUCUCCAUGACCUCUUUCAUUCAACUACACUUCAAAUUGUCAUGGAGUAGGUAUAGUUUGCAUCACCUCAGGUACAUAUUAGACGUCUUUCUCCAAUGCUAGACUUUUCAUAGCUUAUGUUAGGAGAGGGCAACCGUUGGACUACAAAGGCUGUCUAGAAUGCCGAAGAAAAGUUUAUGAAUAAAAAUCACAAGUAUGCUGGAGGGCUUAACUUAUUACAGCCACUUCCCAUCCAUCUUCCCAACAUAUCCUCUCUAUGGCCCUUAUUGACGGCCAAACUCUGUGGCGGCAGGAAUGUUAGCAAAAAAACACUGCCGUUCUCGCCCUGGCCGGCUUCUCAGCAACAGCCGCAAUGCCAAGCCGGGUCCGGUUUGCGAGCCGUUUUACUUCGAAAACUUAGCAGCAAACGAGAAUCCACGGGUACUGACUACUGACGUUUUCUAGCCAUAUCAGCUCAAACUCCAAUUGAGCCGAUUAAGAAACGAGGAUGUUCAACGACACUCAGUUUGAUAUUGGAAGCCAUGGGAGCUGAAUUUAUCUAGAAUAUUCUGAUAGACAAAAGACAACGCAUAAGGUUACUUCAUUGAAGAUGAGACAGAAGUCAUGGACAGCACAGGUCCAGAUCAACUUGAGGUUUUCUCUUCUUUGACUACAUCGCUUCGAUUCGAUGGGGCGCUGAAUGUCGAUGUGAAUGAGUUUCAUACCAAUUUUUGAGAGAGGAUUUGGCUACUCUUGAGAAGGAUUAUGAAUAGUUUGGGCUUGAGUCUGCUGAUAACGAGGAAGGCCAUGGUGAAGAGUAUUAGUUAAUUAGUAUUAAGUCUGCUUUUUGUGUUUCCUAAGUUUAAACACUAAUGUAUUUAAAACAAGGUAUAUGUAUAACCAGGUAGGUACUGCCCUUAUUAUGAAGAAAUUUCAUACGGAAUAACUUGAAAUCUGAUAGAAUGCACGUCCAUGAUGUUUCUACCCU